UACAGAGGGGGCAAGCGUUGUUCGGAAUUACUGGGCGUAAAGGGCGCGUAGGCGGCCUUCUAAGUCGAACGUGAAAUCCCCGGGCUCAACCCGGGAACUGCGUCCGAGACUGAAAGGCUCGAAUCCGGGAGAGGGAUGUGGAAUUCCAGGUGUAGCGGUGAAAUGCGUAGAUAUCUGGAGGAACAUCGGUGGCGAAGGCGGCAUCCUGGGCCGGUACUGACGCUGAGGCGCGAAAGCCAGGGGAGCAAACGGG
rnacentral:rRNA from 1 species